rnacentral:misc_RNA from 1 species
AACUUUCGACAACGGAUCUCUUGGCUCUCGCAUCGAUGAAGAACGCAGCGAAAUGCGAUACGUAAUGUGAAUUGCAGAAUUUAGUGAAUCAUCGAAUUUUUGAACGCAUAUUGCGCCUCUUGGUAUUCCUUGAGGCAUAUCUGUUCGAGCGCCGUUUUAAUACUAUGGCUUUGCCUUGUGUUAAUGGUGUUCUGUCGAGAACCUAUUGAAAUUGUCAAGUCGGCGUUGAUACAAAGUCUGAAUUCGCAGCAAAAUGUGAUAGAUGACUUGUACUCAGUUGCCUUACUACUGAAAAUCAUGGCCUCGGAUCAGAUAGGGAUACCCGCUGAACUUAAGCAUAUCAAUAAGCGGAGGCU